ACUUUAUUCCAAUAAUACUUUAACUUUAUUCUUGUAAUUUCAGAUAUUGUUCUUUAUUGAUCUGGCCCUAGUACUCCGGCGUAAAAUUAAAAUAAUCGCUAAUAUUUUUUUUUUCUUUUUUAAAUACCUGUUCGUUUCUGAAAAGAAAAUCUAAUGAUCAAUAGAUAAAAAACAUUGACUCAGCUUCCGCCGUGUUAUUUUUGCACACUUUACUACAAGGUCACGUAGAUGUGAGCGGAAGGGUCACGUGCACAUUUGGAAAUUACCUGACCGCUCGUUACCUCCCACGCGCAACGCAGCAGUGGUCGAAGUGUCGGGCUCGUGGAUGUUGAAUUGAGGAGCACGCGAUGCGGCGCUAGCUGGAGGCUAAUUCGGAAGCUAGCGUGUGCGUCGAGUGUCACCCUGAGGCCUAGCUCUUCAGGUUCUACAGCGCCCCUCAGUCCACAGACGGUCACACACUGACACCUGGUGGAGAGUUUGUGAAACUGCAGUUGAGUAUUGUGAAUAAAACGUAAGGAGCAGACUAGAAGAAGAGGGCUUCAGUGAUUCUUGUUCUGAUACUGUGUCAUUGUCAUGUAUGUGUAGACUCGCUGGGAAUGUUAUUCUUAUGUGAAUGCAGGAGGGAGAGCCGGGGCUUAGACAACAGGAUUGGUGGGCUGCAGGCGGGAGAACAAAAGACUAAGAUAAGGCUCUUUGCAUAAACUCCCAUCAGCCCUGUGAGCUCUGGAGACUGUAAACAAAGCAAUAAAGUCCUAAAACCGGGUCCAAUCGAGUCACCUUGGUCCAGAGUAGGUAUAGGGAUCUUAAUGCGUUACCCGGAAGUCUGUAAAUUGUAGUUUUUUGUAGAGCGAAAGUCAACAUAGAACGACUUUAUUCUCUUAGAAACGUAAGUUUCGUAUUCACCAUGACAGUGUGCACUUCCGGUGCAGACCCGGAUAUAUACUGAGCCGAACCUUGUGAUUGUCGUGUUACUUCGGUAACACAUAUACUAAAAUUGGAACGAUACAGAGAAGAUUAGCAUGGCCCCUGCGCAAGGAUGACACGCAAAUUCGUGAAGCGUUCCUCAUUUUUCAUUCAAAUAUUAAUUAUUCUCCACUGACUCUAAUGGAACAGCGCCCCCACCGCCGGCGGCGCUGCCGGGAACUGCAGCGGCAGGAGUAGCUGUCUGUUACAAACUGCAUCUGAAGUCAUUAUAUGACUAAACCGACCUGCUCUUAAAAAUCAACGACUGUUAAUAAAAACUACACGUCACACAGACAAAGGAACGACCUGCUGUUCAGUCCUGACCCGUCCUCUCCUGUUUCAGUGAUGAUCAGCUGUUCCUUCUCUGUGUGAAGGAUCACAGCGCCACCUACCGGAGGAACUACAUGUGACACUCUGAAGUAAAAUGUCACAACACACCUCAAAUCUGAAAGUGACUUCCGGUGAGGUGCUUCUAAAUAAAAGCCCCAGUGUGUUGAUGGAGAACAAUAGAACAGAUAACAUUAUUGAUAACACCAUUAACAUCUCUGGGAAUUUCUAUUAUUAUUUCCACUAUAUCAAACAGUCUGAGCUUAAAUACAACAGUAAACAGAUGCUCCGGGUCUCUCCCUCCCCAGAAGGUCAGCGGUUCGAUACCCGGUUGUUACAAAACUGAAGAAAAGCUUCAGGGGUUGUUGCACAGUGUAACUAAGGUCUUUGUAAAUAAUGUGGCUGCCUGAUAAACACAGAACAGUGAUGUAUUAUCUCCCAGACGGUGACAGAGGAAAAACCAAGAUUAAGUGUCUGAGUGAAGUUGUUGUUAAACUGGACUGAGAUCAUGUGACUGAAGGCACCAGCUGAUUCUGACUGAGUUCUGUCAUUAACAUGAAUAAUUACUGACUUUUUAAUGUUUUGGCCUUUGAACCCUGACACCAUGACUGUCAUGAGCCAUCCAUGUUAUCUUGUUAGUGUUUCAGUUGCAUGUUGUCCUCAUGUUUACAUGUUACAUAAUGUAAAUAAAUCAUAAAUAAUAAAUCUUUCA